AACGAACGCUGGCGGCAGGCCUAACACAUGCAAGUCGAGCGCGCCUUCGGGUGAGCGGCGGACGGGUGAGUAACGCGUGGGAAUAUGCCCUUCUCUACGUAAUAGUCCUGGGAAACUGGGGGUAAUACCGUAUACGCCCUAUGGGGGAAAGAUUUAUCGGGGCAGGAUUAGCCCGCGUUGGAUUAGGUAGUUGGUGGGGUAAUGGCCUACCAAGCCGACAGUCCAUAGCUGGUUUGAGAAGAUGAGCAGCAACACUGGGGCUAAGACACGGCCAAGACUACUACGGGAGGCAGCAGUGGGGAAUCUUAGACAAUGGGGGCAAUGAUGAACUAGCCAUGCCGGGUGAGUGAUGAAGGUCGGAGGGUAGUAAAGCUCUUUAAGCUGGGAAGAUAAUGACGGUACCAGCAGAAGAAGCCCCGGCUAACUACGUG
rnacentral:rRNA from 1 species